AGUAAGUCGCUAAGGAGUUACUUAAGAGGUUGUCCACCAUCAGUUUAAACAACAAUUUGUAUACAGCAAUGGUAGCUGUGUUAGGUUGGAUGUCAUCCUCUGUAUAUGUCGAUGACGUGGGGUCAGCCUCGGGGAUGGGUUGGUUUACUCUUGACAGGAUUUUAGUUACCGGCUCCAGCGUCAUCGUGGGACGUGGUACGCACACCUCUAGUUUAUUCAGAUUCAGAUUCAGAUGUUUAUUCAGAUUCAGAGAAGCAAAUUGCUAAAGUAAUGGUUGGACAUCUGAUCUAUGUCCCAGGAUGAUUAGGGAAGGAAGGCAGAAAGAACGCUGUUUUACAUUCACACCGGAGUAUGAACUUGGAUAGAAAACUCACCUAUGGAGGGGUAUGGAGAAUUUAAUUGGAUAUGAGGUCCUGCAGACUGCCUCAAGCAACAGCCUUCUAGAUCGAGUAAUCAUAAGAUUAGCCAGGCCAUGCUUUGAAGAACUCCCAGAACCCACUCCAGGUUAUACUUCAGGGUGUCGGUUGCAGUGCCACCAAACGCCUGGCCUGGGAGGCAGUGCCAUCUAUACCUUAGGAUGAGUUGCUCUGCCAACCACAUCCAGGCACUGAGAUGACAGUGCUCCAUAACAGAUGGACCUCACCCACUGCCGCCACCACCACUAUUACAACUGCCUUCUGGCUUAAGUUAUAAAGUCCCCUCGUACAUAUACACAUAUGCAAUGGAACUGAAAACUCAAUUAUUCAUACACACCAUACAUCUUAUAAUAUUAUAAUGUAAUGUAGCUUUAGGAGAAACUUUGAGAGAGUGACCUUCCUCAUCCCCCACAAAAAAAUAUAUAUAUAUCUUCUGAUUCCUCAACAACUGAACUGUGCACUUGUUCAAGCGGUAACUAACAAUUUAUAAACAAAAAACUAAGAGUUACCAAUAAAGUUCUGAAUAUGAAAUUGCCACAUAUUAGCAAUAUUGAAGGGUAUUAUUUUUAACAGCGAUAAAACACACACACACACAAACACACAGUGAGGGGCCAGAGAUAACAAAACCUAAAAAAUUGGAAUAUAGAAAGAUCUAAUCCACAUGCAUACCAGCACUACAAACUUGUACAAAACUACACAGCAGUGAGAAGAGAUUACCUAUUAACGAUUUUGAAUUCUUAUUCUCCCGCAAGCCUGGCCUAUGGCCAGCCUUCCCUGAUGAUUGCCUGGUCUGUGAAGCUUUUUGAGAAUAGCAGUACUGUAAAACUAGCCUAUAAAUUCGUAAGCAAACUGCAUGGAAAAGUUAAAAUCCAGAGAUUAAGAAAUGGAAACAGAUUCCGAGAGACUAAAAUCAAUUGGUUGAAACCCUAAAUGAACAGUUCAAAGUGUGUUUAUACAAAACAAGGUUUUGUUUUAGAGAACCAUUCACACACACUGAACUUCAAUAGAGCAUGACCUAUGAGACAAGGUAGAGAAACUGUUCAAAGAGUUUGGCAGUUGGGCCAGGUGUAGUUUCACCUUGGGGUCUAAAAGAAUGUGCACUUGAGCUAAGUAUUCCACUGCAAGUUAUUUUUCAAGCAUGGACAUAUGGAAAAGGGGAAACAUGGGUCCAGUCUUCAAAAAUGGUAACAGAAGACUAAAUGAGUGGUUUCUAACCCACCAGUUAGCUUUAAACUAUAGACCUAUAUCAUUGACAAGUGUGGUAGUUAAAUCAUUAAAGAAAGUAAUUGAAACCAACCAAAUAGGUAGAAUACUCAUAGAAAUAUAUGACAUAAUAACAGACAGGCAGUAUGACUUUCAAACUGGAAGGUUCUGUGUAAUUAAUUUACUUAGUUUUUAUGAUUGUCACAGAAAUCUUACAGGAAAGAGUUGACAGUAUCUAUCUGAACCUAAUAAAAAGUAUUUGAUAGAAUCCCACACAAGAAGUUAUUCUGGAAGCGAAGAACACGGGAGGGAUGACAGGCAGACUGCUGAUAUAGAUGAAAAAUUAGGAAUGUACCCAAAAUGAGAAACAUCACUAGCAGAGUACUGCAAGCCUUUAUAGCUGGUACUGUUCAUUAUCUAUAUAUAUGUGAUCUACCAGAUGGGAUUCAGUUUUAUGAAUUAGUUCACAGAUGAUGCUAAGCUACUAGAAAGAAUACAAGUCCUAGCAAAAAAUAUGUGAAAAGGGCAACACAUGAUAGAUGGAAUUAAAUGCAGAUAAGUGCCAUGUUACAGUGUGCUACAGUAUGAAAUACAGCAUGGAAUAAGGGAAGACAAACCACACUCAAUCUUCAAAUUAUGUGAAAAAGAUGCUAAAGCCUUCUGAAUGAGAGAUCUGGGAGUGGUUCUGAAUAUUUCUUUGUGAAAGAAGCCUAUGCAACAAUUGUAAAUUUCAGAAGCACUUGAACUUAACGAUGGAGAAAUACUAGAGGUAUUGUUCAUGACAUUCAGGAGCUACGGCGAGACCAAAAUUAGAAUACAAUAUGCACAGCAUUUUGUGUCGUGUCCAUAUUUCAAGCAGCACAUUAAAUUUGAAAUGGUGCAAAGUCAGAUACCAAAAAUUUGCAGACCUAAAAAAACAAUGGUUAUGAAGAAAAACUGGAGACAUUAAACAUGCCAAAAGCUAAUAAAUUGGAGACAUGAUCACAACAUACAAAAUGGCAGGAAUUUAUGAAGUUUCAAAUAAGGAAAUUUUUAAACCCACAUCAUAAAAAAUAAGAGGUCACAAACUUGAGCUAAAUAAAAAAAAAGGUAAUGAAAAAAUGUCAAAGUUCUCUUUUGAGGGGAAAAUUAUGGGAAGUGGGAACAAUUUAAUAGAAAAGAAGUGGAUGUAGUUUCCAAGAGUCAUACAACACAGGGAAGACGGGACAUCAUGAAUGUAGCGCUGUUCCUGUAACUAUACUUAGGUAAUUACAUACAUUGCAUCAUGGAAUGAUGCUUGCAACUAAAGAAAUGUAUUAAAUAGAAAAAAGUUUGAAGUAUGCAACAGACUGGGUGCUAGAAGUAAGAAAUAAGAGCUACAGGGAAAAUAAUAAAUGCUCUAAACAUGUUUAAAUUGUAUGCAAACAAGUAAAAGGAUAUGAUAAAGUUUCUAUAAGGAUUGAGAAAAGAAAGACUUUUAAGACAAAUAAGUGGAACUAGAUGUGUCAUAAUUGUAAACUACUGUACAGAAAUAACAGAAUUAUUAUUUACCUAUAUUAU